rnacentral:rRNA from 1 species
UGGUGGCAAUAGCAAGUGGGAACCACCUGAUUCCAUUUCGAACUCAGUAGUGAAAACACUUUGCGCCGAUGAUAGUGUGGGGUUUCCCAUGUGAAAGUAGGUCACUGCCA